rnacentral:lncRNA from 1 species
AAAAAAGUGAAAGCUGGUGAUCCAGCCCCCAAAGAAGUGGUAUGAUUGUCCUGAAACUACGAUACUUUGAAGGAACUCUGAGAGAGCCACUUGGAGAGGCUACAUGAGGGAGUACAAAAGGGCUCUAAAUGACAGCCCCAUGUAAAAUCCCAGCCUAUAGCAAGGACCAACUGCCACCAUCGUACACAUUCCAAAUCAGUUGAACCUCCAGUGAGCCAUCUUGGACAUUUCAAACCACCGGAGCCUUCAGGUGACUGAGGUUAUAGCUCCCACCACAUAGAGAACUACCUAGUUACUCAGGUCA